rnacentral:rRNA from 1 species
UUACACUGCAAGUCGAACGGCAGCGGGGGAAAGCUUGCUUUCCUGCGGCGAGUGGCGAACGGGUGAGUAAUACAUCGGAACGUGCCCUGUAGUGGGGGAUAACUAGUCGAAAGAUUAGCUAAUACCGCAUACGACUGAGGGUGAAAGUGGGGGACCGCAAGGCCUCAUGCUAUAGGAGCGGCCGAUGUCUGAUAGCUAGUUGGUGGGGUAAAGGCCCACCAAGGCGACGAUCAGUAGCUGGUCUGAGAGGACGAUCAGCCACACUGGGACUGAGACACGGCCCAGACUCCUACGGGAGGCAGCAGUGGGGAAUUUUGGACAAUGGGCGAAAGCCUGAUCCAGCAAUGCCGCGUGUGUGAAGAAGGCCUUCGGGUUGUAAAGCACUUUUGUCCGGAAAGAAAUGGCUCUGGUUAAUACCUGGGGUCGAUGACGGUACCGGAAGAAUAAGGACCGGCUAACUACGUGCCAGCAGCCGCGGUAAUACGUAGGGUCCAAGCGUUAAUCGGAAUUACUGGGCGUAAAGCGUGCGCAGGCGGUUGUGCAAGACCGAUGUGAAAUCCCCGAGCUUAACUUGGGAAUUGCAUUGGUGACUGCACGGCUAGAGUGUGUCAGAGGGGGGUAGAAUUCCACGUGUAGCAGUGAAAUGCGUAGAGAUGUGGAGGAAUACCGAUGGCGAAGGCAGCCCCCUGGGAUAACACUGACGCUCAUGCACGAAAGCGUGGGGAGCAAACAGGAUUAGAUACCCUGGUAGUCCACGCCCUAAACGAUGUCAACUAGUUGUUGGGGAUUCAUUUCCUUAGUAACGUAGCUAACGCGUGAAGUUGACCGCCUGGGGAGUACGGUCGCAAGAUUAAAACUCAAAGGAAUUGACGGGGACCCGCACAAGCGGUGGAUGAUGUGGAUUAAUUCGAUGCAACGCGAAAAACCUUACCUACCCUUGACAUGCCACUAACGAAGCAGAGAUGCAUUAGGUGCUCGAAAGAGAAAGUGGACACAGGUGC